GUGGGUGUAGCUCAGUUGGUAGAGCCCCUGACUGUGACUCAGGUUGUCGAGGGUUCGAGUCCCUUCACUCACCCCA
rnacentral:tRNA from 1 species